ACAGAAGGGAGCUUGCUCCCGAAUGUUAGCGGCGGACGGGUGAGUAACACGUGGGUAACCUGCCUGUAAGACUGGGAUAACUCCGGGAAACCGGAGCUAAUACCGGAUAGUUCCUUGAACCGCAUGGUUCAAGGAUGAAAGACGGUUUCGGCUGUCACUUACAGAUGGACCCGCGGCGCAUUAGCUAGUUGGUGGGGUAAUGGCUCACCAAGGCGACGAUGCGUAGCCGACCUGAGAGGGUGAUCGGCCACACUGGGACUGAGACACGGCCCAGACUCAUACGGGAGGCAGCAGUAGGGAAUCUUCCGCAAUGGACGAAAGUCUGACGGAGCAACGCCGCGUGAGUGAUGAAGGUUUUCGGAUCGUAAAGCUCUGUUGUUAGGGAAGAACAAGUGCGAGAGUAACUGCUCGCACCUUGACGGUACCUAACCAGAAAGCCACGGCUAACUACGUGCCAGCAGCCGCGGUAAUACGUAGGUGGCAAGCGUUGUCCGGAAUUAUUGGGCGUAAAGGGCUCGCAGGCGGUUUCUUAAGUCUGAUGUGAAAGCCCCCGGCUCAACCGGGGAGGGUCAUUGGAAACUGGGAAACUUGAGUGCAGAAGAGGAGAGUGGAAUUCCACGUGUAGCGGUGAAAUGCGUAGAGAUGUGGAGGAACACCAGUGGCGAAGGCGACUCUCUGGUCUGUAACUGACGCUGAGGAGCGAAAGCGUGGGGAGCGAACAGGAUUAGAUACCCUGGUAGUCCACGCCGU
rnacentral:rRNA from 1 species